GGUUUUUUGUUUUUUAAUUCAGAGGUUUUAAUUAAAUAUUUAUGAAGCCAAUUAAUAUUUCGAAACCUGUUUGCAGUAUAUUUUUAAAAACAUAAAAACAAUCAACAGAAACAGAAAAACAGGAACAUGUAUUUAGGAACAGUAUUAUAAACUUAUAGUCAUCCUAAUUUUAGGGCUAUUGGAAAUAUCUUUUUGUAUUGUUAUACCUUAUUAUGCAAGAAUUGCUUAAUUUUAUUCUAUAUUUAUUGAAAUGUUUUCAAUAGUUAUUGUAUAUAACUAUUGAAAUUUUGUAAGUGUUUGAGUGAAUUACACAAUUUUUUUGAUGUUGAAAGCUGCCUUGAGCAUUGGUAUACAAGUAAAUGAGAAUAAUGACGAUGGAGUGAAUCCCAAAGUGUGUUACAUGUGCUUCGGACCACCAUUUGAGGUCCUUGCUGUGAAUUAGCAACUCUGUCUAUCCAAUGUCCAGACCAUAGUUUUCAUCUCAGGUUAAUGCAAAGGCAAUAGAAUGAGAUAUGUUCAAGGCCGAUUUCAAUUUUAACUACCUGAAACUUUUGUUUUAAUACUGAUGGCUUCAGUGCAACUGGGUGGCCAUGUUUAGACCAUGGCUUUCUUUGAACAAUCUGCAUGCAAGCGCCUACCGUUAAAUAUUUCUCACUGCAUUCCUUGCUUAACAUGAGUGGAAAUACAUGAGACUUGGCUUACCAUGACGUAAUGCUCUUGUCUCCAAGGGAACUUGGCAUGUCAUUGGAGAUCAGGUGCUAUUAUAUCAUGUAGAGUUGGGAAAGGUUCAGAAAACAGCAACCAAAAUGAUGGAGGUAGAGCAACUCCUCAAAAGUUUGCAGCUUGGUUUUGGGACUUUUUAGUGUAGAGAAAAGAUGAGUAACAAGUGACAUGAUAGAAGUUUAUAAAAUUAUGCCAGAAAGCUUUUCUUCCUCUUAAGACUGGAACUUAUGAACAUCCAAUGAAGCUGAAUGUUGGAAGGUUCAGGACAGAUAAAACAAAAUACUUCACACAGUGCAUAGCUAGGUUAUGGAACUGACUCCCACAGGAAGCCAACUUAGAUAGCUUUAAAGGAGGUUUAGACAGAUUAAUGGAGGGGAAGGCUAUCAGUCAUCUCAGGGUGGGUGACAUUUUGCAAACCCAAAAUACAUAAUAAGUACAUAUAAAAAAGACACAAAAAGUAUUAUUUAUUUUACAUUGCUCCAUGAAGAUGCACAAACUAAGGUAUGAUGUCUAGCUGAUUAAAGCUGCUUGCUUAUCUAUUGUUCCACAUGGUUCUCUUAAUGUUUAAAUUGGAUAUCCAGCCACUUUGUUUGUAACUUAAGUAUAUUGUCAUGGCAUUUAUCAGGUGUGUGGAAAACUUCAUGAAUGAGCACAGUUAUACUAUAUGCUAUAAUAUUCAAAUUGGGCCUAUGGGCCAAACAACACAUUGAGGAAAAAUUAUGUGGUUUUCCUACACCAUUUCAGGGUAUAAUGAUGGAAUUGCAUGUGUGAAAGCUUCCCAGCUGUGGAAAAACCGUUAUGUCUGCUGGAAGAAUUCUAGUCUAGAUUUCUUUCUGACAUUUUAACCAUUCAUGCAAGUGAAUAUUUUUAGCAUGGAUGGCACAUACAGUUCCUUGCUGACCAAAUUAUUUUUCAGAAUAUUUCAACAUCAAUGUAGAAUAUUCUGAAAAAUAAUGUGUGGGUGAAUUUCUACUUUAAACCAAUUCCAGACUGGUUAGCAGGCAUAGUGUCUUCAAAUUUUAUUGACCAUUGAUAUAGUGAAGGGAUGUGGAAGAAAAGCCUUGGUCUAAUUGCGAUAAAAUGUUUCUGCAAAUAACUUUCACAUACUUGUUCUGUGAGUGAGCUGCGGAUAAAAAUAGUGAGGAAUACAAAUCAGAUAAUAAAAACAGAGCAAUAUAUUUUCAAUUUGAAAUAUUUUGAUAGCUAUGAUAGUGUAUAGUUUCAUUUUUCUGUAUUAAUAUUUGGUAGCUAUUUAAUAACAUAUUUGUGUUUCACGAAGAGUACUUUGUCUAUAUGUUAUAAUCUUCUCAUCAUCAUUUUAGCUGCUGGACAACAUAUGGAAUAGUUAUCCACUUAAUACUUUGCGUCCAUGCUUACUUCCCUUUGCCUGAGAAAUUGUCAGUAUAGGAGUCAGCAACAUCUGUCACAUAUCAGCACACAGGGAUGCGUCUAGGGUUGCUUAGGUUGGCCCCUACCAAGGGCACAGGCCAGGGGGGCACAGAAAUGGUGCCUAUUCACUCUGCUUGGAGUGGCUAGGAGCUCAACUGCCCAUCUGUGCACUCAAGAUGCGCACAGAUACAGUGUGUGCUGAUACAGUUCCUUGCCAAGGGUGAAAGAGAACCUAGGUGUGCCUCUGUCAGCACAAACCAAAGUUUGUGGUUUAUUGUCACGUGAUAUUUUAUCUUAUUUUCAUUCUUCAUAUGAGGUAACUAUUACUUUGCUGCUCGGAAUCAUAAAUGAGUUUCAAGCAGGACAAAGUUACACUGACUCAUUGCCUCUGUAAAGAAAGCAGACUACAAAAUUAUUGUUGGCAUCCAUGUAUGCUUUGCUCUAUUUAGUAUUGCUUUGGUCUCAAAGGUGUAUGAGUGUUUGCUUCAUGUUUGCACAGUAUAAAACAGAUUAAAAUAUAUUAGAGAAGUUAAAUUUAUUUUCAUAGUAAGUAUAGUUAGGUAAAGGGUUAAACAACAGAGCCUAGGGCUUGCCGAUCAGAAGGUUGGCAGUUCAAAUCCCUGUGACGGGGUGAGCUCCCGUUGUUCGGUCCCUGUUCCUGCCAACCUAGCAGUUCAAAAGCACGUCAAAGUGCAAGUAGAUAAAUAGGUACUGCUCCGGCGGGAAGGUAAAUGGCAUUUUCGUGCACUGCUCUGGUUCGCCAUGGCCACAGGAUCCGGAAGUUGUACACCGGCUCCCUUGGCCAAUAAAGCGAGAUGAGCGCCACAACCCCAGAGUCAUCCGCAACUGGACCUAACAGUCAGGGGUCCCUUUAUCUUUACCUUUAUACUUAGGUAUGAUCCCUGUUGUUGUUUCAACACUAAAUUGGUAUUGAUAAGAUUGAGAGUGAGAUAGAUGUAAAGCAGUGAGCACAGUCACAGAUCCAUCUGAAUUUGAGUCAGAAUCGCAACCUGCUUCUUUCCCCUUCAUGACAAGGACCAGGGCCAGGAUUCCACUUUUUUCUGUUAGAAGCUGUUUCUUAGGCACUUUUAAUGAUGGGGCCUGCUUCAGGAGAGAUGAUGUCCUCUGUGGACGCGGGAAACCUCAGAAAACCUCUGCUAUAUAAACUAGAAAGACCAGUGCACCUCCUUAUUCGUUGCUAGUCCCCAUUCCCAUUUGUUCCAGUCCUGAAGUCCACCUGCCUCCACUGUCUUAAACAGACCACAUGAAUAAAGGCUUUCUCCAUGAAGGGAAGAGGUGACUACUACAUUAUAAUAUCCUGAAAACAGUUCUUGAUCUGAUUUAUUAUGCAAAAAUAAAACAGGGAGCUUUUGAACCAGUUAUUAUAUAAACUGAUUUGGAAGAAUUUUCUGAAUGGUUAUAUAUAUUAUAUUCUAGCUGCUGCAUAAUGGACUGACUGGUUUGUUGGUGCUAGUGAGAGGCUGUUCAUUGCAGGUCGGUCCUAUUCAAUUGUUGGUUCAGUUUGCUAUUGUAAGCAAAUUUCUUAUCACUGGUCCCGAUUUAAAUACUUAUCUGGCAGGCUUUUUAUCUUGAUCCUAGCAUAGGCUAUUCUGCAUUGGACCUUAUUCUGCAAAAUCAGCUUGAUUGAUUUAGCCUGUAACCCUAAACACACUUACUAGAGAAUAAGCCCCAUUGAAGAAAGUGGACUUUCCAAAGAAAACUUACACAGGGUUGUAUUGUUAAUAUUCUUUUUGUGGUUUUCCUGAUAGCUUUCUGAGCCUAGUAGUUCCUUUCUCUCAAGUUUAUACACAUUUCUAGUGUUGUUGUUUUUUUUAAUUAAGUCAAGGUAAAUCCUAACCAAUCAGAUAACUUUUUUUAUUUAGUAGGAUAGUUAAUUUUUCACAGGUUGGUUGAUUUAAUUGGUUUUCAUCUCCUACUUUGAUUAACUAGAGGUUUUGCAUCACUAUAUUUUUAAAUCACAUUUUGCUGUAGUGCUUUAUGAAUGUAAUGUUAACUCAGACUAACUACUGUAUAGCUGUUUUUAAUUAAACUAUUCUAAAUGAAAAAAACUGACAACAGUGCAGAUCUUUCAGGUAGUUUUAAAUUGAUGUAUUGGUGUUUGAAUCACGUAUAUUUGUUAAUAGUCUGCUGUGCUUACUCAGAAUAUGUUAAUAUACGUCCUUACGCAUGAACAGGAUUAAUGCCGUACCCUUCACUUACAGAAUAAGACUAAAAAUGACGCCUUUUUAUUCAGGCAUGUAGGUAGUAGUUUGAUCAUAGUUGUGACUGUCUGGACACCAUUGCCACAAGGAGAAUGCCCCUGGUUUUAGUCCUUUGGCAUCUGUUUGAUCUGCUGUGCUGCUUGGGUAUUCCUUCUGCAUCAUCAGCAACCACAAUCAUAAGGAGUUUUCUGCUUUGCCCCUCUCCAUUCUUGAGCGUUUUCUCAGUUCAGACACUGUCAGUCCUGCUUUACAUCAAAGACUAUUCCUUCUCUCUUGCAGCCCAGCCUUAGAACAGGGUCACCCUUGGAGUCUUCCUGCAUACUUUGUUCAGUAUGCUACAGAUGCUGCUGCUGGAUCUCAAAAUCAUGUUCAGCUUCAGAGUACAAUGGAACUUAUAUACAUCAGAGAGGCAUGACCUCUCUAUAUCUUCCUCACCAAUAACUAUAAUUUGUGCCUUCAUCAUAUGACAUGCAGUUCUGAGAACAGCUUUGCAGCAAAGCUUGGGUAGGUCUUAGAAACUAUCAGUUGCACUCCCACCCAUAUAGUGAAGGUCUCAUAUAGUCUAUCCCCCAGAAAUAUAUAUACACACACAAAGUAUAUAGUCUGUACAGUGGUACCUCAGGUUACAUACGCUUCAGGUUACAUACGCUUCAGGUUACAGACUCCACUAACCCAGAAAUAGUGCUUCAGGUUAAGAACUUUGCUUCAGGAUGAGAACAGAAAUCAUGCUCCGGCGGCGCGGCAGCAGCAGGAGGCCCCAUUAGCUAAAGUGGUGCUUCAGGUUAAGAACAGUUUCAGGUUAAGAACAGACCUCCGAAACGAAUUAAGUACUUAACCCGAGGUACCACUGUAUAUUAUUUCAAAGUAAGUGAAACAGACACAGACUGGCAGAGUUAAGUCAACUGUAUCAUUCUCCUUCCUUUCCAUUAUGUGAUCUUCCUUGGCCAUUUUGUAGACUGGUGGCCAACAUUAGAGCAAACUUUAAAAACAGUGGACACACUUUUUGAUGGUGACAGCACUUGAUCCUUCUAGACAGAAAUGGACUUGUUUAAACUUGUUAUAUAAGAGAAAUGACAGAGAAGGCUGACACUGAUAUACUCUGAGUUACUGUGCCCUAAUAAAAAUAAAGUGACAUGAGCUGAGAAGUGAUGUACCUAUAUUGUGUCAGGUUUGUGAUGUAUCUGUUGUAAGGCUGCACCCAUUCAGUGUGGUCUUUUUGUGGGCCACUGUUGCAGCCAAGCCAGACCACUUUGAUCUUACUUUGCCCCCCUGCCUGCAUAUCUGGGGUUGGGCAGAGAUAGAGAUAGAGAAGUGAGGUAUUUCAGACUGCCUAGAAGUAUCAUGGCUGCAGCAGCAGCUGUAAGAGCUACCAUGAGACAUAUAAGAAUAGUUGGAGGCUGAUUGUGUCUCCAUGCAACCCACUAUAAUGACCACAGCAAAAAGAAACACAAGUUCUUCAAAUACUUUGCUUAUUUUACAUCCUCUCCUAAUAAUGUGGGAGCACCAGAGAUCUUUCCUCUAUGAUCAACUGCACUCAAGGCUUUUUAAGAUGGCCACACAUGGCUAAGGUUUUGAACCUGAGUCUCACAAGAUUUUUUAAUCCUAUGCUACGGUGGAAAGUAGUGCACAUCACCAUAGUGAUUCCAUCACCCUGCACUGUUUUAUUCUGUGUUGUAACAAUCUGUGGGUGGGUGAAUGUCCGUUGUCUAGGCAAUCAAGGCCACUGCUCCAUGUUGUGCUUGGCCAAGCUGCUGUAGAAGAAUGCUUACAUAUUGUCAUAAAUAAUGUCUCUUGUUUCCUAGCCCAGUGCCUCCUCUCUGUAUGGGAUUGUACCCACCCCACAUUAGCAUGUUACAGUGGUAAUGGAUGGCACAGGUUUUCAACAGAGCAGCAGUUUUUUAUGUUCAGUAGUAUCUGGCAUCUUCCACCUUGCAGCUGACAAACCAAUAAGACAAGUCUUGUACCCUUAGUGUGGUCAGGAUUCAGGGUCAAUCAGCUCACCUACAUUCUUGCCUUGAUCAUGGCCUGAUGUAGACUACAUAUGUAUAUUAACUAUGGUUAUAGUUAUUAUGGCAGAAAUUGGUCUUUCAUUAUAGCUGGAUAGCUCAGGCGGUUAGAGCGUAGUGCUGACAAUGCCAAUGUUGCAGGUUCAGUCCCCAUAAGGGACAGCUGCAUAUUCCUGCACUGUAGCUGGUUGGGCCUGAUGAUCCUCAGGCUCUCUUCCAACUCUUAUAGAUCCACAGAUACCUCUUUAUUUUUCUUCCUUCUUGAAAAUGAAGUUAACUCAUUGCAAAUUCACUUU